UAGACGGUAGUUUAAAGGAAUAAUGGUAAUAUUGCUCACAUUGCAGAUAUCAGUUCAAAUCUGAUUCGUCUAU
rnacentral:tRNA from 1 species